rnacentral:rRNA from 1 species
AAUGAACGCUGGCGGCAGGCCUAACACAUGCAAGUCGAACGGGUCCUUCGGGACUAGUGGCGGACGGGUGAGUAACGCGUGGGAACGUGCCCCUUGGUACGGGAUAGCCCCGGGAAACUGGGAGUAAUACCGUAUGUGGUCGAGAGACGAAAGAUUUAUCGCCAAGGGAUCGGCCCGCGUUGGAUUAGGUAGUUGGUGGGGUAAUGGCCUACCAAGCCGACGAUCCAUAGCUGGUUUGAGAGGAUGAUCAGCCACACUGGGACUGAGACACGGCCCAGACUCCUACGGGAGGCAGCAGUGGGGAAUCUUAGACAAUGGGGGAAACCCUGAUCUAGCCAUGCCGCGUGAUCGAUGAAGGCCUUAGGGUUGUAAAGAUCUUUCAGGUGGGAAGAUAAUGACUGUACCACCAGAAGAAGCCCGGCUAACUCCGUGCCAGCAGCCGACGGUAAAAGUCUCUAU